AUCUCAAAUCAGGUAGGACUACCCGCUGAACUUAAGCAU
rnacentral:rRNA from 1 species